GUGAAAUUCCGUCGGAAUCUGGGAGGACCAUCUCCUAAGGCUAAAUACUCUCUAGUGACCGAUAGUGAACCAGUACCGUGAGGGAAAGGUGAAAAGCACCCCGGAAGGGGAGUGAAAUAGAACCUGAAACCGUGUGCUUACAAGUAGUCAGAGCCCGUUAAUGGGUGAUGGCGUGCCUUUUGUAGAAUGAACCGGCGAGUUACGAUUUGAUGCAAGGUUAAGCAGUAAAUGUGGAGCCGUAGCGAAAGCGAGUCUGAAUAGGGCGUUUAGUAUUUGGUCGUAGACCCGAAACCAGGUGAUCUACCCUUGGUCAGGUUGAAGUUCAGGUAACACUGAAUGGAGGACCGAACCGACUUACGUUGAAAAGUGAGCGGAUGAACUGAGGGUAGCGGAGAAAUUCCAAUCGAACCUGGAGAUAGCUGGUUCUCUCCGAAAUAGCUUUAGGGCUAGCCUCAAGUGAUGAUUAUUGGAGGUAGAGCACUGUUUGGACGAGGGGCCCCUCUCGGGUUACCGAAUUCAGACAAACUCCGAAUGCCAAUUAAUUUAACUUGGGAGUCAGAACAUGGGUGAUAAGGUCCGUGUUCGAAAGGGAAACAGCCCAGACCACCAGCUAAGGUCCCAAAAUAUAUGUUAAGUGGAAAAGGAUGUGGCGUUGCCCAGACAACUAGGAUGUUGGCUUAGAAGCAGCCAUCAUUUAAAGAGUGCGUAAUAGCUCACUAGUCGAGUGACACUGCGCCGAAAAUGUACCGGGGCUAAACAUAUUACCGAAGCUGUGGAUUGUCCUUUGGACAAUGGUAGGAGAGCGUUCUAAGGGCGUUGAAGCAUGAUCGCAAGGACAUGUGGAGCGCUUAGAAGUGAGAAUGCCGGUGUGAGUAGCGAAAGACGGGUGAGAAUCCCGUCCACCGAUUGACUAAGGUUUCCAGAGGAAGGCUCGUCCGCUCUGGGUUAGUCGGGUCCUAAGCUGAGGCCGACAGGCGUAGGCGAUGGAUAACAGGUUGAUAUUCCUGUACCACCUAUAAUCGUUUUAAUCGAUGGGGGGACGCAGUAGGAUAGGCGAAGCGUGCGAUUGGAUUGCACGUCUAAGCAGUAAGGCUGAGUAUUAGGCAAAUCCGGUACUCGUUAAGGCUGAGCUGUGAUGGGGAGAAGACAUUGUGUCUUCGAGUCGUUGAUUUCACACUGCCGAGAAAAGCCUCUAGAUAGAAAAUAGGUGCCCGUACCGCAAACCGACACAGGUAGUCAAGAUGAGAAUUCUAAGGUGAGCGAGCGAACUCUCGUUAAGGAACUCGGCAAAAUGACCCCGUAACUUCGGGAGAAGGGGUGCUCUUUAGGGUUAACGCCCAGAAGAGCCGCAGUGAAUAGGCCCAAGCGACUGUUUAUCAAAAACACAGGUCUCUGCUAAACCGUAAGGUGAUGUAUAGGGGCUGACGCCUGCCCGGUGCUGGAAGGUUAAGAGGAGUGGUUAGCUUCUGCGAAGCUACGAAUCGAAGCCCCAGUAAACGGCGGCCGUAACUAUAACGGUCCUAAGGUAGCGAAAUUCCUUGUCGGGUAAGUUCCGACCCGCACGAAAGGCGUAACGAUUUGGGCACUGUCUCAACGAGAGACUCGGUGAAAUCAUAGUACCUGUGAAGAUGCAGGUUACCCGCGACAGGACGGAAAGACCCCGUGGAGCUUUACUGUAGCCUGAUAUUGAAAUUCGGCACAGCUUGUACAGGAUAGGUAGGAGCCUUUGAAACGUGAGCGCUAGCUUACGUGGAGGCGCUGGUGGGAUACUACCCUAGCUGUGUUGGCUUUCUAACCCGCACCACUUAUCGUGGUGGGAGACAGUGUCAGGCGGGCAGUUUGACUGGGGCGGUCGCCUCCUAAAAGGUAACGGAGGCGCUCAAAGGUUCCCUCAGAAUGGUUGGAAAUCAUUCAUAGAGUGUAAAGGCAUAAGGGAGCUUGACUGCGAGACCUACAAGUCGAGCAGGGUCGAAAGACGGACUUAGUGAUCCGGUGGUUCCGCAUGGAAGGGCCAUCGCUCAACGGAUAAAAGCUACCCCGGGGAUAACAGGCUUAUCUCCCCCAAGAGUUCACAUCGACGGGGAGGUUUGGCACCUCGAUGUCGGCUCAUCGCAUCCUGGGGCUGUAGUCGGUCCCAAGGGUUGGGCUGUUCGCCCAUUAAAGCGGUACGCGAGCUGGGUUCAGAACGUCGUGAGACAGUUCGGUCCCUAUCCGUCGUGGGCGUAGGAAAUUUGAGAGGAGCUGUCCUUAGUACGAGAGGACCGGGAUGGACAUACCUCUGGUGUACCAGUUGUCGUGCCAACGGCAUAGCUGGGUAGCUAUGUGUGGACGGGAUAAGUGCUGAAAGCAUCUAAGCAUGAAGCCCCCCUCAAGAUGAGAUUUCCCAACUUCGGUUAUAAGAUCCCUCAAAGAUGAUGAGGUUAAUAGGUUCGAGGUGGAAGCAUGGUGACAUGUGGAGCUGACGAAUACUAAUCGAUCGAAGACUUAAUCAA
rnacentral:rRNA from 1 species